rnacentral:rRNA from 1 species
GGCGUAGGGCGCGAGCGUUGUCCGGAUUUAUUGGGCGUAAAGAGCUCGUAGGCGGCUUGUUGCGUCAGCUGUGAAAACCCGCAGCUCAACUGUGGGCUUGCAGCUGAUACGGGCGGGCUAGAGUUCGGUAGGGGAGACUGGAAUUCCUGGUGUAGCGGCGAAAUGCGCAGAUAUCAGGAGGAACACCGGUGGCGAAGGCGGGUCUCUGGGCCGAUACUGACGCUGAGGAGCGAAAGCGUGGGGAGCGAACAGG